GAUGAACGCUAGCGGCAGGCUCAACACAUGCAAGUCGAGGGGCAGCAGGGGUAGCAAUACUCGCUGGCGACCGGCAAACGGGUGCGGAACACGUACACAAUCUACCUUUAUCUGGGGUAUAGCCCGAAGAAAUUCGGAUUAAUCCCCCAUAAGAUAUUAGAGUGGCAUCACUUAGAUAUUAAAACUCCGGUGGAUAAAGAUGAGUGUGCGUCCCAUUAGCUAGUUGGUAGGGUAACGGCCUACCAAGGCAACGAUGGGUAGCUGGUGUGAGAGCACGACCAGCCACACGGGCACUGCGACACGGGCCCGACUCCUACGGGAGGCAGCAGUGAGGAAUAUUGGUCAAUGGACGCAAGUCUGAACCAGCCAUGCCGCGUGAAGGAUGAAGGCCUUCUGGGUUGUAAACUUCUUUUAUUGGGGAAGAAAAUUACGGUUUCUACUGUAACCGACGGUACCCAAGGAAUAAGCACCGGCUAACUCCGUGCCAGCAGCCGCUGUAACAC
rnacentral:rRNA from 1 species